rnacentral:rRNA from 1 species
AAAUUGAAGAGUUUGAUCAUGGCUCAGAUUGAACGCUGGCGGCAGGCCUAACACAUGCAAGUCGAACGGUAACAGGAAGCAGCUUGCUGCUUCGCUGACGAGUGGCGGACGGGUGAGUAAUGUCUGGGAAACUGCCUGAUGGAGGGGGAUAACUACUGGAAACGGUGGCUAAUACCGCAUAACGUCGCAAGACCAAAGAGGGGGACCUUCGGGCCUCUUGCCAUCAGAUGUGCCCAGAUGGGAUUAGCUUGUUGGUGAGGUAACGGCUCACCAAGGCAACGAUCC